UACAGAGGGGGCAAGCGUUGUUCGGAAUUACUGGGCGUAAAGGGCGCGUAGGCGGCCUUCUAAGUCGAACGUGGAAUCCCCGGGCUCAACCCGGGAACUGCGUCCGAUACUGGAAGGCUUGAAUCCGGGAGAGGGAUGCGGAAUUCCAGGUGUAGCGGUGAAAUGCGCAGAUAUCAGGAAGAACACCCGUGGCUAAGGCGGCUCUCUAGUACGGUACUGACGCUGAGACGCGAAAGCGUGGGGAGCGAACAGG
rnacentral:rRNA from 1 species